CGAAAUUCCCCCGGAACACCCCCAAUUUAAAAUCCGCCCCCGGAACUUUCCCUAAUUUGCACAGGAAGCUUUAGGCCCCCCCCCAUCUGACUCCCCUGGAACGGGGCGCCAUAGAGGGUGAGAGCCCCGUAUAGAUGGACGCCUAGCCUGUGUAAAGCUCCUUCGACGAGUCGAGUAGUUUGGGAAUGCUGCUCAAAAUGGGAGGUAAAUUUCUUCUAAAGCUAAAUACCGGCCAGAGACCGAUAGCGCACAAGUAGAGUGAUCGAAAGAUGAAAAGCACUUUGAAAAGAGGGUUAAAUAGCACGUGAAAUUGUUGAAAGGGAAGCGCUUGUGACCAGACUUGCGCCGGGCGGAUCAUCCGGUGUUCUCACCGGUGCACUCCGCCCGGCUCAGGCCAGCAUCGGUUCUCGCGGGGGGAUAAAGGCCCCGGGAACGUAGCUCCUCCGGGAGUGUUAUAGCCCGGGGCGCAAUGCCCUCGCGGGGACCGAGGUUCGCGCAUCUGCAAGGAUGCUGGCGUAAUGGUCAUCAGCGACCCGUCUUGAAACACGGACCAAGGAGUCAAGGUUUUGCGCGAGUGUUUGGGUGUAAAACCCGCACGCGUAAUGAAAGUGAACGUAGGUGAGAGCUUCGGCGCAUCAUCGACCGAUCCUGAUGUUUUCGGAUGGAUUUGAGUAGGAGCGUUAAGCCUUGGACCCGAAAGAUGGUGAACUAUGCUUGGAUAGGGUGAAGCCAGAGGAAACUCUGGUGGAGGCUCGCAGCGGUUCUGACGUGCAAUCGAUCGUCAAAUCUGAGCAUGGGGGCGAAAACUAAUCAAACCAUCUAGUAGCUGGUUACCGCCGAA
rnacentral:rRNA from 1 species